rnacentral:rRNA from 1 species
GACGAAGGCUGCAAGCGUUAUCCGGAAUUAUUGGGCGUAAAGAGUACGUAGGCGGCCUGUCAAGUCCCGGGUUGAAUCCCGCAGCUUAACUCCGGAUCGGCCUUGGAAACUGGCUUGCUGGAGUGUGGUAGUGGUAGCGGGAAUUCCUGGUGUAGCGGUGAAAUGCGUAGAGAUAAGGAAGAACACCUGUGGCGAAAGCGCGCUACUGGGCCAUGACUGACGCUGAGGUACGAAAGCUAGGGGAGCAAAAGGG